GGCCUGAAUGCCACAAGUUGCAUCGACCUGAACGUCGGAAACUUCUUCGAUCUGAACAUCGGAAAAUUGUCCUGAAUGCCACAAGUUGCAUCGACCUGAACGUCGGAAACUUCUUCGAUCUGAACAUCGGAAAACUGGCUUGAAUGCCACAAGUUGCAUCGACCUGAACGUCGGAAACUUCUUCGAUCUGAACAUCGGAA
rnacentral:lncRNA from 1 species